UACGUAGGCAGCGAGCGUUGUUCGGAGUUACUGGGCGUAAAGCGUGCGUAGGCGGUGUCUUAAGUUUGUUGUGAAAUCUCCCGGCUCAACUGGGAGGGUGCGGCGAAUACUGAGAUGCUGGAGUGCGGGAGAGGUAAGCGGAAUUCCUGGUGUAGCGGUGAAAUGCGUAGAGAUCGGGAGGAACAUCAGUGGCGAAGGCGGCCAUCUGGAUCAACACUGACGCUGAGGCACGAAAGCGUGGGGAGCAAACAGG
rnacentral:rRNA from 1 species